UCCCUUAGCGCUCUUCCCCUUUCUCACCCGGUUCCCCGAAUUGAGAAACAGCAAGUAUUUGCUCGGGUAACGUUAACGCGCGAGUGACUGCUUUACUUUGAGUCCUUAAGUUUAACUCUGUGAGGAUCCUCUUGCGGCUGGAUUGAGAAAUUAUUUUCUGGAUCUCUUGGCAGCCUUGUUUCUCAUUGCUCCCGGAGUGGAGGAUGAAAGAAGGGCAUCCCCAGCUUCCCAUUAUCAAUUUGUCGCUUAUCUUGUGGACAAAGGGUCACUGUUUUCUGCAGCUUUCUGAACAGUGACAUUUUUUAAUAGCAGAACCAUCAGUCGGGGUACCGUAUUGAUGAGAGUCUGGCAGAGUGCCUGGUGCCUAAUACAGGGCUGCUCAGCCCGGAGUACUCAAUAUUGGAAAUAAUAAUUGAUGAUGAUGAAUGGUGAUUGCAGGUUAGGGGAUAAUGAUGUGAAUCAUGCAGUCAAAACUAGCUCAAAAAACAGGAUGAACUAUUUGAAGUGAGCCAAAGAAUAAACACUUAAUAUUUAUA